CAUUUGAUUAUUUAUUUAUUGUCUUUUGAAAGACAGCUUUUUCUCUUGUUAUUUGAUUGGAUAGUUCCAUCUUUUUUCAAAGCAUAAACUGUCAGAUUGAUUUUCUUUUAUCCUUACUGUAGGUAUGAUGGCCAACGAGCUCAGAUUUUGUGCUCUUGCAUCCCCCAUGUGGGCUGGAUGAAUCACCAUGGAAUGAACCUGGAAUUUUAACUGCUAGAAAGGAUUUAGACUACAUUGGAUGAGAAGAACUGUUGGAAGCCUUGAAGAGGCAAAAGGGUACGUUUGAAACCGGUCAAGAAGAUAGUACUGAAAUUCUGGAGGAGUUAAAGCUGAGGUUGGCAUACAGGGAAGCAGCUGUGGCUGUUCUUGCAUGCUACAAUCCAAAUCCUCACCGUCCUUUCACUGAGGUCAAUGCUAGAAUGAUUUCUUCAUCAGUCGAUAAUUUGUUUCAAGAUCAGAGGCUUAUUUGUGUUAAACCACAUCUGGAAUUUGUUGCAGACUAAUAUUCGUUCCAUUCGCAGCAAGCCAAAUAUGCGUUAUGUUGAGACUACCGGAAGGUUUUUUUGAGAAAGUUAGAUUAUGUAGAAUCUAUAGUCCAUGCAUGUGCCCGUAAGUCUUAUAUCUCUCUUUCCUUUAAUUACUCUUUUUUUGUCCUUGUGCCAAACUGUUCAUCGUUCAAAUGCAUAAGCCAAUCAAAUUAUCAUUGGCUUAUGGAUUUAGUGCAUGCAUGUCACAUGUGCAGCAAUGACAUGGGGCAUGGUACCUCCCAUGCCUCCAAUGGCACUGAAUCUGGUCCCUUUCUGGUUACUUGAGUGUGAAUUUCACACAAUUUUGCUUGGUGCACUCCAUCUUGACUCAUGUGUUUAUUGUCUCAUUUGAAUUUUCUGUUAUCUGCAGAAUUUUUCAG